CAUCCUUGCACCAGCCCUGGUUCUGGCCAGAAUAUGAAUGUGACUUAUGCUUUGUUACAUUUCAGGUAAUUGACGAGAUGGAGGAACAUGAACAUUUGCUGCAAAAAGAACUUCUGUGGAAAGCACAGGACAUGCUGGAAAUGGCAAAACAGUCCUUAUACAAACGAGAGAGAGAGGUAGCUGAACUUCUACAAAGCGAGAGUGGACACAAUGAAACAAUGAAACCUCAAAUCACAGUUACAACAUUACUAAAAACUCUUGUGAGCAAGGUCCACACUAUAUAUUGUGAUGUACCUGAGGCACAACAAUGCAUUAAUCAGCUUAUUGAGAAGAAUGAUGCUGAAAGGGCUGAUCGGAAAGAAGAAUUUAAUAAUGCGCAGGCUGACAUUCUGUCCUAUAAAGUUAUUUAUGGAAAUAAACCUACGGAUUACAAAAGGGAACAGUUUUCAGCGAAGCUUUCCAGAAAUCUUGUGAAUGCAAAGUCUGAAUUAGAAUAUGCUGAAACAGAGAAGAUUGCAUUGGAUUGCAUCCAAAAGGGGGAAAUCCCAGACUGGAUUAGCAAAUAUUGUCCAUAUUUAACCUUGACAGAUUCUGACCAAAAAAUGUAUGCUGAUGAGAAAAGCCACUUUCCAGAUGAAGUUAUGCAAACACUCAACAGAAAAUCACAGGAUGCUGAUGAGACAGAGGAGCAGAAAGGGAUGCACCAGCUUUGGGCAGAGGCCCCCAUCACAGAUGAGGAGGUGUUGUGUGAAAAGGGUGGAGCAGAGAAGCACAUUAUGAAAGAGCCUUGGAGCGAAAACUGAUUGAUAGAGUGGGCAAAACUUUCAAAAGCACUUAAAUGACGCAGAAGCCUAAGGCCCAUUGGCUUUCAAUAGGACUUGGUUCCUCAUUCACUUGGGUGCUUUUGGAAUUGUGACCCCAAGUUUAGAAGCAUUCUACUAUAAUUUUAAGAAAUCUGGCCUGAACCCGCAAUGGAGUUGCAUGGAUGGGACCCCUUGUACCCACCCAGAACUCCAUUAACUUAACGGGGUCUGUGAGUGAUCAAAGGGAUGCAUCCACACUGAUCACAUUGCAGCAUCAGGACCUAAAGUAUGCAACAUUCCUCCUACUUUCAUUAACAGGAAUAGAGCUGGUCAGAAAAUGACUUUUUUUAAAAUAUACACAUUUAUAUUUGCAAAAAUAAAUGUCCACUCUUCAGCA
rnacentral:lncRNA from 1 species